UCUAUAUACUGAUUUCCUUAUUCCUGUUAGGAAAGGAAGUUGAAAGUUUAGACUUGUCCAGAUUUCAGCUUUGAGGAUUCCUCUGUCACAUGAGGCUUGGGGUGGUCUGCGUUUGUUUCAGCUUAAGAGCCAUAGCAAAGAUGCUUGGGGGUGUUGAAAGCAACAGCUACAUUGCGGAGAAGCGAGGACAGAACUCACAGGUGUCCAGAAGGAGAGUGAGCUGUGGGAGAGAGCCUGGGAAUGGGCAGCGAUGGAGGAAAGGAGAAAUGUUGAGGACCCCUCACCUCCCUUGUACUUUGUUUCUUGAAGCCUAACGUUUUGUAAUCUAUUGUGUUGUCUUGAUCAUCCAGGAUGAAAAAUGGAUCUCUAAUGAAUACAAUCAUAUCUGUAAGCUACAGAUUUUACUAUCAACAAUAUGAUCUAUUAGUAAAGCUGGCCACAUGACACUGAAUUUACUGGCCUUCGUAUUAAUCAUAUAAAAUAGUGAAGGGAGUUAUAGUAGGCUGAUUCUGAGAUGGCUCUCUGUGAUCUCAUUGGAAGAGAGAUGUUUAUUAUGAUAUGGCAAAAGCCUAGUGCUAAUGUGGUCUGCAGUUAUGCUGAAAACAGAAGAUAUACCUGAUAGACUUGGCUACAUGGCUAAGGAGAUUUCCAGGCAGUGGGGAAGAUACUAUUUUUCUCUUGCUGCUUAUAGCAUGAUAGAAGAGCCAUAAAGUGAGGGAAGAAUAAAACAGGAGAGCAUAAGGUCAAAAAAAGAUACAUUAAGGACAUCUGGCUUUAACUCCAAUGUGUAAAGUUCUUAAAAGUCAUUGCUUCCACUCUUACCACAAGAAGAACCUGAGUGAACUGAAAAUCAGUGACAAUUCAUGUAUCCAAAUGAGAAUGAAGUUCCUACAGCAAACAGCCACCCAGAAAUCUGCAAAGAUAGAUGAAUUAGGGGAGUCACAGCUGAGAUCUGUUUACCUGGUGCAGAAACCACUAGAAACAAACUCUUGGUAGCACUUCAGUGGCAAUGCUUAUGAUUUUCCGGAGCACUAGUGUGGAGUCGCGUGAGAGUGAUAAACUCCUGGGGUCACACUCUUGGAAUCCCACACAGUUGUGGAUUUUACCUCCAGAAGCCCCACCAAGCUCUCACAGUAAAGAGUUGAGAAAAUGCCAUCAUGGUCAUGUGGGGCGCAUGGAAGAGAAGUUAUUGUGAAAUAUACCCAGAAUAUUCUCCAUGACAAAGACCUACCCUCCAGCGAGGGAUAAAACCUUUAGCAGAGACUUAUCCCACUUGAGGGAAGGUCACUUUUCUUACUCUGGACACCAAUAUCCUUCCUGUUCCUUGUAAGGGGAGAAGCAAAGCUAAGAAAUGCUUGUAAGGGACAUAGACCCCCUAAAAGACUGUGAUGUAAUCAUAAGAGUAUAGAAUACUUCCCCUAUGCCAACCUUCUCACCACACUAACAGGGCUCCAAUGUAACUGUGGAUUACACCUAAAAGAGCCAGAAAACACAGACUCUCUGUGGAGGCGUAUAUAAGGAUGCCCAAAGUCAAGAGUGGAGACAAGAUAAGGAUACUAGAGGAAUUUGAAGCCACCGCUACCUACAUCUACAGCAAACAUUAUAUAUAGCUUGAUUCCCAGCCAGAUUAAUAAUAACAACAAAAAAUGCUCACUAAAGGCCUGUUUGCCUCACUGAUUACUAUUCAAUACAUUAUGUAUGGGUUUUAAUGGAAAAUUUUAAGGUAUCCCAAAAGGCAAGAAAAAGCAAGUCAGAAAGACAAAGCAAGCAUCAGAACCAGACUCAGAUUUGACACAAAUUUGGAAAUUAUCAGAUAGAGAAUUUAAAAUAACUAUGUUUUAGAUUUUAAAGACUCUAAUGGAGGAAAUAGUCAACAUGCAAAAAUAGAUGUGUAAUGUAAGAAGAGUGAUGGCAACUCUAGGAAACAAUCAAAAGGAAAUGCUAGAAAUAAUAAAAAUCACUGACAUAAAUAAAGAAUGUCUUCAAUAGUUUCAUCAACAGAACAAGUUUGAGGAAAGAAUGAGUAAGCUUGAAGAUAAGUCAACAGAAAUAAUUUCGAAAGUAUAAUAUACAUCUAUUUGGAAUACCAGAAGGAGAAGAACAAGAACAAGAAACUAAAGAAAUAUUUGAAGUAACACUGUCAGAGGAUUUUCCCAAAUUAACCACAGCAAAUCACAAGUCAAGAAGUAGAGAACAGUAAACAGGAGAAAUACCAAAACAAUUAUACACAAACUUCAGAAAACCAAAGACAAAAAGAAAAUCUUCAAAGGAGUCAGAGAAAAAGUAACCUGACUUACAGCAAAACAGGACAAGAAUUAAAUUAGACUUCCCAUCAGAAACACAGAAGCAAGAAGACUGGAGUGAAGUAUUUAAAUGCUAAAAUAAAGAAAAAAAUACAAACUUGAGAAAUAAAGACUUCCUCAGACAAAUGCUGAGGGAAAUAAUCACCAUCAGACCUUCCCUGUAAGAAAAUAUUAAAAGAAGUUCCUCACGGAAAAGGAAGGUGAUAAAGGUCAGAAACUCAAAUCUGCGUAACAAAGGAAGAGUGCCAAAGAAGGAAUAAAUAAAGGUAAAAGAAAAUCUUUUUUUUCUUUUCUUAUUCUUAAUUGAUCUAAAAAUAACUAUUUAAAGUAAUAAUACGAUGAUGGUAUCAUAUGAUGAGUGAAGUGAAUGACAGCAAUGAUGGUGGCAUAGUGUCAUUUAAAGGUGGAGUUAGAUUACUUAAAAUGUAUGUUGGAAACUCAGGCUACCAUUAAAAUAUUUUUAUUUUUAUAUUUUUUUUGAGUUGUAGUCUCACUCUGUCACCCAGGCUGGAGUGCAGUGAUGUGAUCAUGGCUCACUGCAAGCUCCUCCUCCUGGGUUCAAGUGAUUCUCCUGCCUCAGCCUCCCAUGUAGCUGGGAUUACAGGCACCUGCCAUCAUGCCUGGCUAAUUUUUGUAUUUUUAUAGAGAUGGGGUUUCACCAUGUUGGCUAGGCUGGCCUUGAACUCCUGACCUCAGGUGAUCCGCCUGCCUCAGCCUCCCAAAGUGCUGGGAUUAUAGGCAUGAGUCACUGUGCCUGGCCUUAAAAUAUUUUUAAAAUAUGUAUAAUUAAUAUGCUAAAAAAGAAGAUAAAAUUGUGCAAAAUGUCCUAUUAAAAUCAGAAAAGGCAGAAAAGUAGGAAAAGUAAAAAAUAAAGAACAAUUAUAGCAAAUAGAAAACAGUUUAAAUAUGGUGGAUAUUAACCUAAUAAUAUCAAUAGUCAUUUUAAAUCUAAAUGGUGUAAAGAAGCCAAUUUGAAGACAAAGGUGUUCAUAGUGGUAAAAAAAUCCAACUAUAUUUAAUCUACAGGAAACUCAUUAGAAAUAUACAGACAUAGGUCAAAAGUAAAGGUUUUAAGAAAUAUAAAUCUUGUUAACACUAAUUUUUAAAAUUGCAUAGAACUUUAUUAGCUGUGAACAAAGAAGAUAGCAGAGCAAGAAAAAUUACAAGGGAAAAGAGGUGCAUUACAUAACGAUAAAGGGAUCAAUUCUCAAAAAAGACAACAAUCUUAAACAUUUAUUCACCUAACAACAGAGCAAAAACACCUAAAAAUGAUGCAAAAGCUGAUGGAACUAAAGGGAGAAAUAUACAAAUUCACCAUUGCAGUUGGAGACUUCAAACUUCUUUUUCAGUAAUUCAUAGCUCAGCAGGUAGAAAAUCAGUGAAUACAGUUGACUUGAGGAACACUAUCAAUCAAUAUGAUAUAAUUGACAUUUAUAUAAUAAAAUACUACCUACAAACAGCAUAACAUAUGUUCUUCCCAAGCUUCUAUAGAACAUACAGCAAGAUAGGUCACAUUCUGGGCCAUAAAACACAUAGGAACAAAUGUAGAACAAUAAAAAUUAUAGGAAAUAUAUUAUCAGGUCACAGUGGAAUUAAACUAGAAAUCGGGAACAGAAAAGUAGCUAGACAAUCCCAAAUAUUUGGAGAUUGUCUUAACUGGUUUAGUGUAGCUAUAAAAGAAUACAUGAAGCUGGAUAAUUUAUGAAGAAAAGAGGUUUAUUUGGCUCACAGUUCUAUAGGCUAUACGAGAUGCAUCGUGCCACCAUUUUCCUGGAGCCCUUCAGGAAGCUUCCACUCAUGGCAGAAGGUGAAGGGCAG
rnacentral:lncRNA from 10 species